rnacentral:lncRNA from 1 species
GCCUUUGCCUUACGGCCUGGAGCACCAGGCCGAAGCCGAAGGGAGCGUCCGGAUCCCGGAUAGCAGCCAGGACCCGGGCCUUCACGUUCCGGCGCCAGGGACUGGACAGAAUGUGCGGCUAUUAGGUGCCCAGUAGAUCGACAGCCCCUCCGUGCCGGCCCUUGGCCAAGUAGGGACUCGGAAGCUACCCCUACGGCGUCCGCGCCCGGAGCCCUGGCUCUUCUACCUGCCUGCAGAUACAAACCCCACUCCCUGCGAAGAUGGUGUACACGCAGCCCCGAGCACAGACCCGAAGCUGUCCACCCUUCUUGGGCGCCGUCGCGGUCUGGCCGCUGCCCUUCGAACCCAUGCCAUGUUGGAACUACAUUUGGAAAGGUGGUUGUUAAACAUUUCCCAGCACACACCUGGAUCUGCAUCUGCUGUGUCAAUUGAACCACUCACUGGUUCUGUGACCUCAGUUCUUCGUAGACUCUGGAAUGGAGCUGGAAGCUGUCAUCCUCAGCACACUAACGCAGGAACAGAAAACCAAGCACUGCAUGUUCCCACUUAUAAGUGAGAGCUGAACGAGCAGAACACAUGGACAUAUGAAGGGGAACAACACACUCUGGGGCCUGUGAGGUGCAGGGAGAGCAUCAAGAAGAACAGCUAAUGGGUGCUGGGCUUAAUACCUGGGUGAUGGGUUGAUCUGUGCGGCAAACCACCAUGGCACACAUUUACCUAUGUAACAAACCUUGACAUCCUGCACAUGUACCCCGGAACUUAAAAAUAAAAGUUGACAAAAAGAAA